GCCACAUCCUUGCUUUGCCUCUUGCCUUUACUUGUUUUUUCCCCCUCAGUCCCUUAAAGGUUCACCUGAGAGUCCUACUUCAAUACAUCAUAUGAACCUAAAUCCCUGCUUCAAGAUCUACUUCCAGGGCAUUGGCUCACUUUCCAUCACAGAUGAGAAACCUAUAGGAGGACAACCCCCAUGGUGAAGACAUUCAAGCAAGUCUCUGGAGAGGCCUAUGAAGAAGGAAAUAAGGUUUCUCACCAAGAGCAGUAAUGUAGAAGAUGAUUCUCCACCUCCAUGUAAGGCCAAGCCUGCUCAAAAAAAAAUAAAGUAAAAUGACCACAAGGCA